rnacentral:rRNA from 1 species
GGGCCCGCACAAGCGGUGGAGCAUGUGGUUUAAUUCGAUGAUACGCGAGGAACCUUACCAGGGCUUAAAUGCAGAGCGACAGAGGUGGAAACACCUCCUUCUUCGGACGGUCUGCAAGGUGCUGCAUGGUUGUCGUCAGCUCGUGCUGUGAAGUGUCGGGUUAAGUCCCAUAACGAGCGCAACCCCUAUUUCUAGUUGCCAGCGGUUCGGCCGGGGACUCUAGAGAAACUGCCAGCGUAAGCUGUGAGGAAGGUGGGGAUGACGUCAAAUCAUCACGGCCCUUACGUCCUGGGCCACACACGUGCUACAAUGGUAAGGACAGAGAGUUGCCAACCCGCGAGGGUGAGCUAAUCUUUAAACCUUAUCUCAGUUCGGAUCGGAGUCUGCAACUCGACUCCGUG